GUGGAUUAGAUACCCUAGUAGUCCACGCCCUAAACGAUGUAUGCUUGGUGUUGGCCUAGUAAUAGGUCAGUGCCGGAGGAAACCCAUUAAGCAUACCACCUGGGGAGUACGAUCGCAAGGUUGAAACUCAAAGGAAUUGACGGGGGCCGCACAAGCGGUGGAUCAUGUGGUUUAAUUCGAUGCAACGCGAAGAACCUUACCCGGGCUCGAAGUGCAGUAGACAGACCCUGAAAGGGGUUUUUCCUUCGGGACUAUUGCAGAGGUGCUGCACGGCCGUCGCCAGCU
rnacentral:rRNA from 1 species